rnacentral:rRNA from 1 species
AUGCCACACCGUGCAAGCCCCGAUGGAGGCAUGGCUCAAGCUCAGCAAGGAGAGCGCCGAGAAGCCGGUGGACGCAACGUUGUACCGCACCAUCUCGAAAGCCUUAGGUAUCUCGUGCAUACCCGACCGAAUAUCUCGUUCACUGUCGGGUUCCUGAGUAGGUUCAUGGAAGCCCCGACAAGCGAUCAUCUCGCUGCCCUCAAACACCUGCUCUGGUACAUCUCAGGCACGAUCACGCACGAAUGCGUGUAUCGCCGUGGUGGCAGCGAGAACCUGGUCGACUACAGGGACUCCGACCACGUUGGCAACAUUGUCUCCAGGAAGAGCACCUCUGCCAUAAUGUUCUUCCUUGGGAGCAGUCCCGUUAGCUGGCAAUCGAUGAGGCAGAAGGUUGUCGCGACUUCUUCGUGCGAGGCGGAGUACAUCACGGCAACAACAGCGGCAUGUCAGGGAAUCUAG